rnacentral:tRNA from 1 species
GGAUCGGUAGCUUAGUUGGUAAAGCACUUGUCUAGCGAAUAAGGGUCGUGAGUUCAAAUCUCAUCUGAGCUG